rnacentral:rRNA from 1 species
CCUACGAGAGGCAGCAGUGGGGAAUAUUGCACAAUGGGGGAAACCCUGAUGCAGCGACGCCGCGUGAGUGAUGAAGUAUUUCGGUAUGUAAAGCUCUAUCAGCAGGGAAGAUAAUGACGGUACCUGACGAAGAAGCUCCGGCUAAAUACGUGCCAGCAGCCGCGGUAAUACGUAUGGAGCACGCGUUAUCCGGAUUUACUGGGUGUAAAGGGAGCGCAGACGGCAGGGCAAGUCUGAUGUGAAAGUCCGGGGCUCAAACCCGGGACUGCAUUGGAAACUGUCCGGCUAGAGUGCAGGAGAGGUAAGUGGAAUUCCUAGUGUAGCGGUGAAAUGCGUAGAUAUUAGGAGGAACACCAGUGGCGAAGGCGGCUUACUGGACUGUAACUGACGUUGAGGCUCGAAAGCGUGGGGAGCAAACAGGAUUAGAUACCCUUGUAGUC